UAGAGCGGCGGACGGGUGAGUAACACGUGGACAAUCUGCCCCCCGGCCCGGGAUAGCCCAGGGAAACCUGGAUUAAUACCGGAUGAGACGGGACCCGCGAUGGCGGGACCCGGGAAAGGCGCUGCGGCGCCGGCCGGGGGAUGAGUCUGCGUCCCAUUAGCUAGACGGCGGGGUAACGGCCCACCGUGGCGACGAUGGGUAGCCGGCCUGAGAGGGUGGACGGCCACAUUGGAACUGAGACACGGUCCAGACUCCUACGGGAGGCAGCAGCUAAGAAUCUUCCGCAAGUGGGACGAAAGCCUGACGGAGCCGACGCCGCGUGAACGAAGAAGGCCGUGAGGUUAGUAAAGUUCGUUUUCGGGAGGGGGAACAACCGUGGCAGGGAAUGGCCGCGGGAUGACGUGAAUCCCGGAAUAAGUCCCGGCUAACUACGUGCCAGCCGCCGC
rnacentral:rRNA from 1 species